UGAGCGCGUUGAGUAGUAGCCCCGACGUAACGUCGGGGAGGAAAGUCCGAACACUCCCUCUGGAAAACUGGAGGAGAAAGGUAGCAGGUAACGCCUGUCGUGCGCUUUUUGCGGGCGCAAGAGGUGCGAACAGAGACGAGUCUUCGACAAUUUAGGGUUUACCUUGAGUAUGUCGAAGGGUGAAACGGCAAAAUCCUUACCCGAGUGCAAGGCCGUGUCCCGAGAGUAAUCGAAGGAAGUGCCGCUUGAUCCCGACGGUGACGUCAGGACCAGAUAAAUUACUGCUCACGACAGAAUUCGGCUUACAGACGCGCGCGCAGA
rnacentral:RNase_P_RNA from 2 species